CUGGAAUCUGCUGUUUGGAGGCGUCGCCAUGGAGACCGGAAGGCUCAGGGGCCCUGGGCAGGUCCCCGGCCACCUGAGCCUCGGUGUGCCCGGCCGUGACACGGGAAGGUGACACCACGCCCUCAGCACCACGUGUGUAGGGGACACGGGUUCGAGACCUGGUCUGGGAAGAUCCCACAUGCCACGUUGCUACUGAGCCCCCGUGCUGCGACUUCUGAAGCCCGUGUGCCUGGAGCCUGUGCUCCGCAACAAGAGAAGCCACCACACUGAGGAGCCCGCGCACCACAACGAAAAGUAGCCCCCCCCCCGCCCCGCUCACCACAACUAGAGAAAG